rnacentral:rRNA from 1 species
GACGAACGCUGGCGGCGUGCUUAACACAUGCAAGUCGAACGGGCCCGCUCUCUUUUUUGGGGGUGGGUUGAGUGGCGAACGGGUGAGUAUCACGUGAGUAACCUGCCCCCUGCUCCUGGAUAACUGCUUGAAAGGGCGGCUAAUACGGGGUGUGCCGGCUGGUCCGCAUGGGCCUGGUCGGGAUAGUUUCAUCUUCGGGUGUUUCGGUGGGGGAUGGGCUCGCGGCCUAUCAGCUUGUUGGUGGGGUGAUGGCCCACCAAGGCGGUGACGGGUAGCCGGCCUGAGAGGGUGGGCGGCCACACUGGGACUGAGACACGGCCCAGACUCCGGCGGGAGGCAGCAGUGGGGGGUAUUGCACAAUGGGCGGAAGCCUGAUGCAGCGACGUCGCGUGAGGGAUGGAGGCCGUCGGGUUGUGAACCUCUUUCUCCGGGGGUGAAGGCCCUGUCCGUUGCGGCGGGGUUGACGGUAGCCGGGUAUGAAGCGCCGGCUAACUACGUG